rnacentral:lncRNA from 1 species
AAAUCGAUGGGUGGCUAUGUAGAAACGUCGUUCGAAUGGCGGCAUCCUAAACCGCAGUUCCAACUACGGUUAACUGUGUUUAUUUGAAAUCUUAAAGUAACCUGGACGAGCUCUCUCUUCUUCCUCCUCCUCCAAUGUCCACAACACCACACCAAGGAUCACCACCACCAUGGGUCACCACCACGGAUCAGAAUCACCAAUGUAUAACCUCUCAACUCAAAACAAUCAAACAGUAAAAGUGAAGUGAAGGAAAUGCUAGUAAAAUGAAGUGAACAAAAUGCUACUGUGAGUGAUGGGAACCACGAAGGGGGUGCAUGUAGGUUAGGGUUUAUA